rnacentral:rRNA from 1 species
AGAGUUUGAUCCUGGCUCAGAUUGAACGCUGGCGGCAGGCCUAACACAUGCAAGUCGAGCGGAUGAAGGGAGCUUGCUCCCUGAUUCAGCGGCGGACGGGUGAGUAAUGCCUAGGAAUCUGCCUGGUAGUGGGGAACAACGUCUCGAAAGGGACGCUAAUACCGCAUACGUCCUACGGGAGAAAGCAGGGGACCUUCGGGCCUUGCGCUAUCAGAUGAGCCUAGGUCGGAUUAGCUAGUUGGUGAGGUAAUGGCUCACCAAGGCGACGAUCCGUAACUGGUCUGAGAGGAUGAUCAGUCACACUGGAACUGAGACACGGUCCAGACUCCUACGGGAGGCAGCAGUGGGGAAUAUUGGACAAUGGGCGAAAGCCUGAUCCAGCCAUGCCGCGUGUGUGAAGAAGGUCUUCGGAUUGUAAAGCACUUUAAGUUGGGAGGAAGGGCAGUAAGUUAAUACCUUGCUGUUUUGACGUUACCGACAGAAUAAGCACCGGCUAACUUCGUGCCAGCAGCCGCGGUAAUACGAAGGGUGCAAGCGUUAAUCGGAAUUACUGGGCGUAAAGCGCGCGUAGGUGGUUUGUUAAGUUGGAAGUGAAAGCCCCGGGCUCAACCUGGGGACUGCUUUCAAAACUGGCAAGCUAGAGUAUGGCAGAGGGUGGUGGAAUUUCCUGUGUAGCGGUGAAAUGCGUAGAUAUAGGAAGGAACACCAGUGGCGAAGGGACCACCUGGGCUAAUACUGACACUGAGUGCGAAAGCGUGGGGAGCAAACAGGAUUAGAUACCCUGGUAGUCCCCGCCGUAAACGAUGUCGACUAGCCGUUGGGAUCCUUGAGAUCUUAGUGGCGCAGCUAACG